rnacentral:rRNA from 1 species
GACGAACGCUGGCGGCAUGCCUAAUACAUGCAAGUCGAGCGAACAGAUGAAGUGCUUGCACUUCUGACGUUAGCGGCGAACGGGUGAGUAACACGUAAGGAAUCUACCUAUAAGCGGGGGAUAACAUUCGGAAACGGGUGCUAAUACCGAAUAAUAUCUUCUUCCGCAUGGAAGAAGAUUGAAAGACGGCUCUGCUGUCACUUAUAGCUGAACUUGCGGUGCAUUAGUUAGUUGGUGGGGUAACGGCCUACCAAGACGAUGAUGCAUAGCCGACCUGAGAGGGUGAUCGGACACAUUGGGACUGAGACACGGCCCAAACUCCUACGGGAGGCAGCAGUAGGGAAUCUUCCGCAAUGGGCGAAAGCCUGACGGAGCAAUGCCGCGUGAGUGAAGAAGGCCUUCGGGUCGUAAAACUCUGUUAUAAGAGAAGAACAAAUUGUAGAGUAACUGCUACAGUCUUGACGGUAUCUUAUCAGAAAGCCACGGCUAACUACGUGCCAGCAGCCGCCGUAA